rnacentral:rRNA from 1 species
UACGUAGGGUGCGAGCGUUGUCCGGAAUUAUUGGGCGUAAAGGGCUCGUAGGCGGUUUGUCGCGUCGGGAGUGAAAACACUGGGCUUAACUCAGUGCUUGCUUCCGAUACGGGCAGACUAGAGGUAUUCAGGGGAGAACGGAAUUCCUGGUGUAGCGGUGAAAUGACGCAGAUAUCAGGAGGAACACCGGUGGCGAAGGCGGUUCUCUGGGACUGAUCUCGACGCUGAGGAGCGAAAGUGUGGGGAGCGAACAGG